UGGGGAAUAUUGGACAAUGGGCGAAAGCCUGAUCCAGCCAUGCCGCGUGUGUGAAGAAGGUCUUCGGAUUGUAAAGCACUUUAAGUUGGUAGGAAGGGCAGUAAGCGAAUACCUUGCUGUUUUGACGUUACCGACAGAAUAAGCACCGGCUAACUCUGUGCCAGCAGCCGCGGUAAUACAGAGGGUGCAAGCGUUAAUCGGAAUUACUGGGCGUAAAGCGCGCGUAGGUGGUUCGUUAAGUUGAAUGUGAAAGCCCCGGGCUCAACCUGGGAACUGCAUCCAAAACUGGCGAGCUAGAGUAGGGCAGAGGGUGGUGGAAUUUCCUGUGUAGCGGUGAAAUGCGUAGAUAGAGGAAGGAACACCAGUGGCGAAGGCGACCACCUGGGCUCAUACUGACACUGAGGUGCGAAAGCGUGGGGAGCAAACAGG
rnacentral:rRNA from 1 species